UUUUAUUUGAGAGUUUGAUCCUGGCUCAGGAUGAACGCUGGCGGCGUGCCUAACACAUGCAAGUUGAGCGAUUUACUUCGGUAAAGAGCGGCGGACGGGUGAGUAACGCGUGGGUAACCUACCCUGUACACACGGAUAACAUACCGAAAGGGAUGCUAAUACGGGAUAAUAUAUUUGAGAGGCAUCUCUUGAAUAUCAAAGGUGAGCCAGUACAGGAUGGACCCGCG
rnacentral:rRNA from 1 species